GACUACCGGGGUAUCUAAUCCUGUUUGCUCCCCACGCUUUCGAGCCUCAGCGUCAUUUACAGUCCAGUAAGCCGCCUUCGCCACUGGUGUUCCUCCUAAUAUCUACGCAUUUCACCGCUACACUAGGAAUUCCACUUACCUCUCCUGCAAUCUAGUUCAACAGUUUCAAAAGCAGUCCCGGAGUUGAGCCCCGGGCUUUCACUUCUGACUUGCUAAACCGCCUACGCUCCCUUUACACCCAGUAAAUCCGGAUAACGCUUGCCCCCUACGUAUUACCGCGGCUGCUGGCACGUAGUUAGCCGGGGCUUCUUAGUCAGGUACCGUCAUUUUCUUCCCUGCUGAUAGAAGUUUACAUACCGAAAUACUUCUUCCUUCACGCGGCGUCGCUGCAUCAGGGUUUCCCCCAUUGUGCAAUAUUCCCCACUGCUGCCGCCCGUAGG
rnacentral:rRNA from 1 species